AUGACCACACACUUCUGUUCAUCGUUCUUCUUCGAUGAACCACAACCGUUUCUAUUCGUCACUCCAACAUAUCUGAAAGAAUUGUUGCAAGUUCUCGGAGGGAAAUAUGAAGGUUACAAAAGAAUGAGAAUUAGUGAUGAUGGGCUGAACUGGUUUCUUUUGUAUUUGUUGCGAAUAGGGCACGGUAUGGACUUUGUUUUGUUUGCAGGUUUGGAAUUUGAUGGUGUAAUGGUGAAAAUCAAGGUCUCAUGGAGUUUGGUUGUCUUGAAAGAUGGCUAUAAGAUCAUAUUAUAA